rnacentral:lncRNA from 1 species
GCUAGUAUGUGCAAGUCUUUGAGAGUUUUGCCAAAACCUUAGAUGGUUCCACUUAUAAUAGAAUAGAGAAGGCAGUGAACAAGUUGUCGUUGUCAAUAGAUAUACCUCUCAUCCUCCCAAAUACAAUAAACACUAUAGUUAAUGGGUCAAAUCUGAAUGAAACUAAUGGCUAAAUAUGGUCAACUACAUUGGAAUUGUAGAAGGGCAUGUAUUUUGGUUGGGACUCAUGGAAGAUGUGUUGGGCGCUUAGACCCACGGAAGCCAGUGUCGGUCAGGACAUCACUACUUCAUUAGCAGCAGAGAUCUCUUAACAACAUGUCUACAUCCACGGAAGCUGGCUAGCUGAGACGUUUCUUUUUAAAAGGCAAUGGCUACUUGCAAUACCUAAAUACCUUUUCUCCUAAUCUGCAGCGGGGCCGGCCUUUCACUGACCACAUGCAUGCUCGCCGGAUCGAUCAACCAGCUCACACAGCACCGUGCCUUGUUCCCAAUCCCAUCCACAUCCACCGGUAGACAGAAGAAGCAGAUGGAUCGGUGACCAGCGAAAAAAAAAAACCACGCCUUCUUUCCAUCGUAAACAGCGCACCGCGCUCCCGAGGCUGACAGUUAAACUGCUUUACCCGAUGCCUUUCCGGUUCCCGUAGAAAUGGAAAUUUACGGGCACUUGCCGUUGAUCAGACUUUAACUAUCUGAUGCUAGCUGUAACACCGCUGCUGCGGGCGAAUGCAGAUCCGGAGCAGACAGGC